UUUCCGUAGGUGAACCUGCGGAAGGAUCAUUGCUAAAACACUUUGCUUUAAAUCCUUUUCGGAGGAUUUAAUGAUCCCCCAAAACACCCUUUGUGCACCGUUGGACCGAUGACCGGUCAUACAGUCACAUUACUUUCGGGCCCAGAUUUUAUUUGGGCCCAAAGGUGUUGUGAUCAUUGGUGACCUGUCCCAUUUAUCAAACUCCCAACUAUUCAAGAAAUCAAUCGCUGAAGUUAUAUCUGGUCUCCACGGACCAGAGUUAUUUGUUAUCAAAAAAACAAAAUACAACUUUCAACAAUGGAUCUCUUGGCUCUC
rnacentral:misc_RNA from 1 species